rnacentral:rRNA from 1 species
UACGUAGGGGGCGAGCGUUAUCCGGAUUCACUGGGUGUAAAGGGAGCGUAGACGGCCAUGCAAGCCAGGGGUGAAAGCCCGGGGCCCAACCCCGGGACUGCCCUUGGAACUGUGCGGCUGGAGUGCGGGAGGGGCAGGCGGAAUUCCUGGUGUAGCGGUGAAAUGCGUAGAUAUCAGGAGGAACACCGGCGGCGAAGGCGGCCUGCUGGACCGCGACUGACGUUGAGGCUCGAAAGCGUGGGGAGCGAACAGG